rnacentral:lncRNA from 1 species
CUGCCAACCUCAGGGGUAUAGUCCUUGUUCCCACUUAACGUAAGAGGAAACUGACAGAGAUCCCAGGCGAUUUACCCAAAGUCACCCAGCUGGUAGAUGGAGAAGUAGAGGCAGGAACUCGGAUUAUCUGAAUUAUGGUUUGUAUUAAGCACUCAUUCUGUGCCAGGCGCAGUGAAAGUACCAGAUGGGGAGUUUGUAAACUGGGCAAAUGGGGGUCCCGGAACCCCAGAACCUGAUGAAACCCUGGCCCCGCCUCCUCUGAGUGUCGGCCCCAACAACAGCGCAGAAGAGGCCCCUUUCUACCACCAGGCUCCACCCCCAGCGCCAUUGAUUGGACUGUGCAGAAGGGGUGGGGCCUUCCAAGCGAGAUGAGCCAAUCAGAACCUCUCUUCAAGGAACUGGAAAUUAGAACAGUGUUUGGGCCAAAUAGAUGGGGGUGAGCAGGGGAGGAAAGGUCUUGAGGGAGCAGCACGCUUGCCUGAUGGGUGCCCAAAGCCAGGGGCAGGUGGAGGUGAGAGAAGGACAAGCUCUGCAAACGUUGCGGAAGCGCUCUGUCCAUGGAGAAGGCACAGGACUUCCAUGUGGGGAGCAGCUUACUCCUGCUGAGAACUUUGGGGAGACAGAGUGGAGCAGCCAUCUCAGACCUGAGCGGCUAAGGAGCUGGGUCCCCCUCUGUCGCACUGUGCAGAGCUGCUGGACUUUGCAGUAAGCAGCCUUCAGGUCUAAAGGCUCCACAUUGUAAGGAAGCCCAGUCACAUGGACAGACCAUAUGGGUCCAGUUGGCUGCCCCAGCCAAGGUUUCAGCCAACAGCCAAGAUUACCCACAGCCACGUGUAUGAAUGAGCCUUCAAAUGAGUCCAGCACCCAGCAGAAUAAUGCCCCCUCCCGUCUCACAAAGAUUUCCAUGCCCUAAUUCCUGGAACCUGUGAAUCUGCUACAUCACAUGGCAAGCAGAGCUGGCAGAUGGAAUUUAGGGUGUGGAGCUUGAGGUGGGGAGGGCAGCCUGGAUUACACAGGUGGGCCCUAUCUAAGCACAUGAGCCCUUAUACAAGCAAAGAACAUUUCCUCAGCUGCCAGACAGCUGGCAAACAGAAUUGGAGGGGCAGAGAGAUGUAAUCAGAAAGGGCAGAAGAGACUUAAAAGGAAGAGAGGCUCGACCUGCUGUGGCUACCUUUGAAAAUGGAGGAAUGGGGCUCCAAGCCAAGGGAUGCAGGCUGCCUCUUCAUUGGAGUACUGCCAGCAAGAAAACAGCCCAGCAAUUGCAAGGAAAUUAAUUUUCCCAACAGUCUGAAUGAGCAAGAAAAUGGACUCUCCCCUGCCACGCCCUGAGUUCAGCCUUGUGAGACUCUAAGCAGAUACCCACUCAAGCCCACAGGACGUCCAACCCAUAACAAUUGUAAGAUAAUAAACUGGGAUAGUUUUAA